CCGAGUUAGGGUUUCGUCUGACGAGCCCGACCUCCCAACCCUUUGUCUAUUAUACCUUGUCGUUGCUUCGGUGGACCGGUCGCGACCAACUGGUCGUGACCGCCGGGGGUUCACCCCCUGGAGAGCGUCCGCCGACGGCCCAACUACAAACUCUUGUACCAAACCAUGUCGUCUGAAUUACUUGAUUAAAAUCAAAAAAACA
rnacentral:misc_RNA from 1 species